UACGAAGGGGGCUAGCGUUGCUCGGAAUCACUGGGCGUAAAGGGCGCGUAGGCGGCGAUUUAAGUCGGGGGUGAAAGCCUGUGGCUCAACCACAGAAUGGCCUUCGAUACUGGGACGCUUGAGUAUGGUAGAGGUUGGUGGAACUGCGAGUGUAGAGGUGAAAUUCGUAGAUAUUCGCAAGAACACCGGUGGCGAAGGCGGCCAACUGGACCAUUACUGACGCUGAGGCGCGAAAGCGUGGGGAGCAAACAGG
rnacentral:rRNA from 1 species